UACGGAGGGGGCUAGCGUUGUUCGGAAUUACUGGGCGUAAAGCGCACGUAGGCGGCUUUGUAAGUUAGAGGUGAAAGCCCAGGGCUUAACCCUGGAAUUGCCUUUAAGACUGCAUCGCUAGAAUCGUGGAGAGGUGAGUGGAAUUCCGAGUGUAGAGGUGAAAUUCGUAGAUAUUCGGAAGAACACCAGUGGCGAAGGCAGCGAAUUGGCCCUAUAUUGACGCUCAGGCACGAAAGCAUGGGGAUCAAACAGG
rnacentral:rRNA from 1 species